GAUGAAACGUAGCGAAAUGCGAUACGUAAUGUGAAUUGCAGAAUUCAGUGAAUCAUCGAGUCUUUGAACGCACAUUGCGCCCCCUGGUAUUCCGGGGGGCAUGCCUGUCCGAGCGUCAUUGCUGCCCUCAAGCACGGCUUGUGUGUUGGGCCUCCGUCCUCCUCCCGGGGGACGGGCCCGAAAGGCAGCGGCGGCACCGCGUCCGGUCCUCGAGCGUAUGGGGCUUCGUCACCCGCUCUUGUAGGCCCGGCCGGCGCUUGCCGACACAUCAAUCUUUUUUCCAGGUUGACCUCGGAUCAGGUAGGGAUACCCGCUGAACUUAAGCAUAUCAAUAAGCGGAGGA
rnacentral:misc_RNA from 1 species